UACGUAGGGUGCGAGCGUUAAUCGGAAUUACUGGGCGUAAAGCGUGCGCAGGCGGUUUUGUAAGCCCGGUGUGAAAUCCCCGGGCUCAACCUGGGAAUGGCAUUUGGGACUGCAAGGCUGGAGUGCGGCAGAGGAGACUGGAAUUCCUGGUGUAGCAGUGAAAUGCGUAGAUAUCAGGAGGAAUACCGAUGGCGAAGGCAAUCCCCUGGGCCUGCACUGACGCUCAUGCACGAAAGCGUGGGGAGCAAACAGG
rnacentral:rRNA from 1 species